rnacentral:tRNA from 1 species
GCCUGGGUGGCUCAGUCGGUUAAGUGUCUGACUUCAGCUCAGGUCAUGAUCUCAUGGUUUGUGGGUUUAAGCCCCACGUCAGGCU